rnacentral:lncRNA from 1 species
AUGAGAGGUUACUCCCUGUGGCUUCUGCUCUCCUGGGAUCCCAGCAGCUCGGCCCCAGUGCCCACAGGGGAGCCCCAUCCCCUGGGGCUCAGAGUCUCGAGCUCCAGGAUCGGCCAGGUGCUCAGAGGCACCUGCUGGGGGAGCCUGUGCUCAGGGAGGGUGGGGGGAGGAGGGGGUGGAGUGUUCCCAGGGCCUUCGGAGGGAGUGGGGGCCUCAGCAUUGGGGGCAUGGGAGUUGGGGGGUGCACCCCAGGAUUUGAGGGGUGAACUCCGGGAGGCUGGGGGUGGACACCAGGAGCUGGAGGGUGGACCCCAGGAGCUGAAGGGUGGAAACAAACAUUUUGCAAGGAGGAAACAGUUAUUGGGAGGGGAUGCUGGAGGAGGAGGAAGUAGUGACCAAUAUCAGUGCUAUCAGGAAUAGGUCAAAGGGCCACAAAGAUCCAAGAGAUUUUGGCAACAAAGUCAUUGAUAACCUUGGUGAGGUUUUUUACUGAUGCAUUGGAAACAAAGGCCAAAUUUCAGAGGACUGAGGAGUGACCAAAAGGACGUAAGGGAAAACAAUGGGUACAUAACUCUUUUAGAAGGUGUCAUUGUGUACUAGGUAUAAAAGAAAGUGAAAAAAAAAAAGUGAAAAUAAGGCUAUUUUUCGAAAAAAAAAAAAAAAAGGAGAUGGAGACCAUGUGUUCACAAUGUUGAGAAAGAAGAGAAGAGAAGGAGAUGUUUAAGAUUCCAGAACACGCAAAGCUGAUUGUUAGAGAGAGGUCCCCAGCAAGGUGGGAAAAGACAGGACUUCCUUCAAGUUGGAGGAACUACUGUAGGUCAAGGAAGAGAUAAAUGUUCCAUUUUGACCAGAGGAAUUAUGGUUUUUUUAGAUUUGCAGGUGGGAAGUUGGUAGUAUUUGUCUGAUGGCUUCUAGUCUCUUGAGGCCACCAAACAGUGGCAAGCAUGCCUAUAAAGGAGGGAAAAACAGUUGUAUAAAAAGAGAGGUCCACCAAGGAGAUAGAAAGUAAACUGAGCACAACACCACAGAGAGGAGAACCUGAGGACUGAUGAGGUACUGGGUCUGGUAAAUUGGGGUUUAUUCAUAAUUGAGAAGUUCUGGAAACUGAUAGAAGGCAGGCCCUCUACUACAAGAAUUACAGAAAUGAGCAAACAUGUGAGAAGGGAAGCCAGCACUUAUAUGUGACUGAAGAGAGUCCUGGAAGGGGAAGGCAGAGGUGGAGUGGGUGCUAAAGGUCAUUUGAAUUUAAUUCAAGAGGAAAAGAGGAGCCAGAUUGAGAGGAAAUUAAAAAAAUUGGCAGAGGAGUUAACCCUCAAAAUGUGGAGGGAUCCUUCUCUUUUGUGACAAGAAAGAAGCUAGAGAGGAUUGGUACAUCAGCAGAGAAACAUAUUGAAGUGGAAGCAUGUUGUUGUGAUUUAUAAUAAGAAAUAUAUAUUUGGAGUUCAUCCUGGUUCCUGGCAUGGAGCUUCUAAAACCCUUGUAAUUUCCUAAGUGUUAAGAAAACUAGGAGCACCGUCUGUUCUGAUGAGGCAACUCUGGGUGGUCUCCUGGGUGAGGGCUCAUCACCAGGAAGACCAAGCCAUGAUUAGAAGCUUGGAUUUUCAGCCCUACCCCUUGUCGUCCAGAGAGGGGAAGGGUUAGAAAUGGAGUUAAUUAUUGAUCAUUCCUGUGUGAGGAAGCCUCCAUAAAAUCCCAGUAGUAUGGAGUUUAGAGAGCUUCUAGGCUGGCCAACACAUUAAUACCUGGGGGGUGACACACCCAACUCCACUGAGACAGAAGCUCUUGCACUCAGCAUCUUCCCAGACUGGUGCUCAGUACCUCUUCCUCUGGCUAUUCAUCUGUCUCCUUUAUCAUAACCUUUAAUAAACUGGUAAAUGUAUAUAAGUGUUGCCCUGAGUUCUGUGAGCUGCUCUAGCAAAUUAAUCAAACCUGAGGAAGUGGUCACUAAGAAGUACAGGUCUUCACUGGUGUCUUGCUCACAGGGAAGAAAGACAUAGCAGGGAAGAAUUAGGUUCUUCCUUAACAUCAGAAGGAAACUGUAGGUUUUUCCUUUUGUACCUAUUUAGCUCAGUGAAAUCCCAAAGUAGAUGUGUGUGUGUGUGUGUGUGUAAAUUGGUUCUAAAACAUAAGAAAGCAACACAUCUAGAACAACUAAAACAAUAAUGAAAAAGAGGAACAAAAUGGGAGGGGGGAUCUCAAGCUAUAUGAGUUCAAAACUUACUCUAUAACUAUAGUGAUUGAGACCAGGGUAUUGGAGUAAGGAUAGUUAUAGAGAUCAAACUGAAAAAAAGCCCAGAAAAAGACC